UUUUUUUUUUUCUUCACACUUUACAGAGAGAGGGUGAAAAGUAAAAAAAAACCCAACACACUUUUCCACCCUCAGCCCCGCCCGCCUCUCCUAAGGUGAAGUCCCCAGUUCUGUUGUGUCUGUCUCCACAGCGAUCUUCUCUCUCCUUUUCUCCUUGACGGAAACAACGCCGGGGUUUAGGAGCAAAGUCUCCACAGCGUCCUCCGGCUCCGCACGCGGUGCAUACACAUCCCGCGCUAAGGGAUAAAUCAGGCAUCCGCCAUUAUAGGAGGCUCAUGGUGUUUUUGCAAGUCCUAUCACCAGGUGUCGCCAUAGUACACCUCGGCGUGCUGCUCACGUUGGUGACUUCCAAGGAUUAUUCUUUCAGCGAAUUUUAAAUAAAUACAUCAUGCAACUUAAAACAGCCCAAAGAGCGUAAUGCGGAUGAAACAGGUGAAGAGACACACUGUUCAAGAAGACCAAUGAAAUACAAACCAUGGUAAGAGGGUGUUUUUUUUCCAUUUUGCAUUUGCUUUACAGGU
rnacentral:lncRNA from 12 species